rnacentral:rRNA from 1 species
GUCUACAGCCAUUCCACUCUGAAUGUGCCCAUCCUGUCUAAUCUCAGAAGCUAAGCAGGGCUGGGCCUGGUUAGUAGUUGGAUAGGAGACUUCAAACCCCAAAAUGCCUUCUUCCUGAAGGGU